CCCGCUGAACUUAAGCAUAUCAAUAAGCGGAGGAAAAGAAACUAACAAGGAUUCCCCUAGUAACUGCGAGUGAAGCGGGAAAAGCUCAAAUUUAAAAUCUGGCGGUCUUUGGCCGUCCGAGUUGUAGUUUAGAGAAGCGCCUUCCGUGCUGGACCGUGUACAAGUCUCCUGGAACGGAGCGUCGUAGAGGGUGAGAAUCCCGUCUUUGACACGGACUACCAGUGCUCUGUGAUGUGCUCUCGAAGAGUCGAGUUGUUUGGGAAUGCAGCUCAAAAUGGGUGGUGAACUCCAUCUAAAGCUAAAUAUUGGCGAGAGACCGAUAGCGAACAAGUACCGUGAGGGAAAGAUGAAAAGCACUUUGGAAAGAGAGUGAAACAGUACGUGAAAUUGCUGAAAGGGAAACGCUUGAAGUCAGUCGCGUUUGCCGGGACUCAGCCCCACCUCGGUAGGGUGUACUUCCUGGUAGACGGGCCAGCAUCACUUUUCUUCGCUGGAUAAGGGCAGGAGGAAGGUGGCCCCUUCGGGGGUGUUAUAGCCUCUUGUCGGAUGCAGUGGAGGGGAGUGAGGCUCUCAGCGCGCCUUUGGUCGGGGUUCGCCUACGAUCGCGCUUAGGAUGCUGGCGUAAUGGCUUUAAACGACCCGUCUUGAAACACGG
rnacentral:rRNA from 1 species